rnacentral:rRNA from 1 species
GAUGAACGCUGGCGGCGUGCCUAAUACAUGCAAGUCGAGCGAACGGACGAGAAGCUUGCUUCUCUGAUGUUAGCGGCGGACGGGUGAGUAACACGUGGAUAACCUACCUAUAAGACUGGGAUAACUUCGGGAAACCGGAGCUAAUACCGGAUAAUAUUUUGAACCGCAUGGUUCAAAAGUGAAAGACGGUUUUGCUGUCACUUAUAGAUGGAUCCGCGCUGCAUUAGCUAGUUGGUAAGGUAACGGCUUACCAAGGCAACGAUGCAUAGCCGACCUGAGAGGGUGAUCGGCCAAACUGGAACUGAGACACGGUCCAGACUCCUAAGGGAGGCAGCAGUAGGGAAUCUUCCGCCAUGGGCGGAAGCCUGGCGGAGCAACGCCGCGUGAGUGAUGAAGGUCUUCGGAUCGUAAAACUCUGUUAUUUGGGAAGAAAAUAUGUGUAAGUAACUGUGCACAUCUUGACGGUACCUAAUCAGAAAGCCACGGCUAAAUACGUG